UCCAUUAACUACUGUAAGUCGCUCUGGAUAAGAGCUUCUGCUAAAUGAAUAAAA
rfam:Salmo salar isolate Sally breed double haploid chromosome ssa24, whole genome shotgun sequence.